rnacentral:rRNA from 1 species
AGAGUUUGAUCAUGGCUCAGAUUGAACGCUGGCGGCAGGCUUAACACAUGCAAGUCGAGCGGGGGAAGGUAGCUUGCUACCGGACCUAGCGGCGGACGGGUGAGUAAUGCUUAGGAAUCUGCCUAUUAGUGGGGGACAACAUCUCGAAAGGGAUGCUAAUACCGCAUACGUCCUACGGGAGAAAGCAGGGGAUCUUCGGACCUUGCGCUAAUAGAUGAGCCUAAGUCGGAUUAGCUAGUUGGUGGGGUAAAGGCCUACCAAGGCGACGAUCUGUAGCGGGUCUGAGAGGAUGAUCCGCCACACUGGGACUGAGACACGGCCCAGACUCCUACGGGAGGCAGCAGUGGGGAAUAUUGGACAAUGGGGGGAACCCUGAUCCAGCCAUGCCGCGUGUGUGAAGAAGGCCUUAUGGUUGUAAAGCACUUUAAGCGAGGAGGAGGCUACUUUAGUUAAUACCUAGAGAUAGUGGACGUUACUCGCAGAAUAAGCACCGGCUAACUCUGUGCCAGCAGCCGCGGUAAUACAGAGGGUGCGAGCGUUAAUCGGAUUUACUGGGCGUAAAGCGUGCGUAGGCGGCUUAUUAAGUCGGAUGUGAAAUCCCCGAGCUUAACUUGGGAAUUGCAUUCGAUACUGGUGAGCUAGAGUAUGGGAGAGGAUGGUAGAAUUCCAGGUGUAGCGGUGAAAUGCGUAGAGAUCUGGAGGAAUACCGAUGGCGAAGGCAGCCAUCUGGCCUAAUACUGACGCUGAGGUACGAAAGCAUGGGGAGCAAACAGGAUUAGAUACCCUGGUAGUCCAUGCCGUAAACGAUGUCUACUAGCCGUUGGGGCCUUUGAGGCUUUAGUGGCGCAGCUAACGCGAUAAGUAGACCGCCUGGGGAGUACGGUCGCAAGACUAAAACUCAAAUGAAUUGACGGGGGCCCGCACAAGCGGUGGAGCAUGUGGUUUAAUUCGAUGCAACGCGAAGAACCUUACCUGGCCUUGACAUACUAGAAACUUUCCAGAGAUGGAUU